rnacentral:tRNA from 1 species
GGUGCUGUGGCUCAAGUGGUAGAGUGCUUGCCUUGAGUUCAAGAGGUGAAGGACAGCACCU